rnacentral:tRNA from 2 species
CGGUCGCUGCUGCGGCCGUUGCAGCCGCCGUUGCCGUUGUCGGCGGUGGAGGCGCAGGUGCUGGCCCGCUGCGACGGGC